rnacentral:rRNA from 1 species
UACAGAGGACUCAAGCGUUGUUCGGAUUCAUUGGGCGUAAAGGGCGCGUAGGCGGUGGGGCAAGUCUGAUGUGAAAUCCCGGGGCUCAACCCCGGAACUGCAUUGGAUACUGCUCUGCUUGAGCACUGGAGAGGAGACUGGAAUUUACGGUGUAGCAGUGAAGUGCGUAGAUAUCGUGAGGAAGACCAGUGGCGAAGGCGGGUCUCUGGACAGUUCCUGACACUGAGGCACGAAGGCCAGGGGAGCAAACGGG